rnacentral:lncRNA from 1 species
UGCUGUUCCCGUCCAUGUGCACCCGAGUCUUGUGACUGGGGAAGAGAGAGCAGCUCCACUCCCACUGGGAAAGGGGUUUUGAAAUGUUGAAAUGCAUCAGGCUGCUGAAUUUUAGAUUACUUAAGUGUUGUUAUCGUGAUGAGGAGGCUCAGAUAAGUUUGAAGGCUUUAUCAGCCUUUGCAGAUCUCUCCCAGCACUCUGCACUCCUUCAUCUUUGUAUCACAAACUCCUUCUUCAGCAGGAUUUCUCUGAUUCAGCGUCGGUUCUGCGAGGCCCUGCCUGCAGUCCUGCCAUGGCACAAUUUCAGCCUGACCCUGUGGAUGAGCAUGAGCUGUGCAGGGAAAUGCUCCAGAACAAACCAAAAGCUGAGGUAUGCGGUGUAACUCAGGGAACUUCAUCAGAGCUGCUCUGACCUUCGUGGUGUUUCAGUUUAGCCCCCGUGUGAUACUCCUGGGAUGCCAAACUUACAGGAGGAGAGUUCUGAAGAUGUGGUCUGAGGGUUUGUCCACACAGAGCAGGCAGGGAUUCUGAGCUAGCUCUUUUUUAUCAACACCAAGAACUAGAAGCAGAAGAGGCACUGCUCUGCUCUGGUCUUUGGCUCACAUCUCCACCUGGCCCUGCCAUGUGGAAGCCCCGCCACGUGCUUGAGGUUCUCCACCCUGUGGUCCAUGGACCAAGAGGGUUGUGCUGAGGAAAGCAAGAUUGGUUCAAUUUGCUAGAACUGCCUAUUAAAAUUGCAGCAGGUUUCCAAAGCAGCAGAUAAAAAAACUGCAUCUGCAAGCUGCGUUCCCUGGUGUUGCCCAGGCUUGGUCGCUCCUGCUGACCAGCCUGCUGAGGCUUGGAUGGAGUCCCACGCUCAGCCCUGCCCCAUAAAGGGGAGUUACUACUCCAGCAGCACGUUCUUGAUUAGCGCCUUCCAGGACAGCACGUGUCAGAGAAACAGCUACAGAACCCUUCUCCCAUCCAGUGCAUCCAGCUCUGUGCCCGUCAUCACCUCAGUGGUGUUGAAAGUAAUUGGAGAUUAGGCAUCUCCACGCCCUUGGAAAUUUACCUCCUGCUAAAGUGACUGCAAACCUCUGUGCCCUUGGAAUGCUUUGAGUCGUAUUCCGGCAGUCUAAGGGGGCGCUGAGUGGGAGGUAAGCCCCUCCAACACCUUGCAAACUCCAAUGCCCUGGUACCCGUAGGGAUGUGUGAAGACAGCGGUGAACUGGCGGAGUUACAAAAGUGGGUCAACUCACCUGUGAAGUAUUCUGGGUCAGGUACUAAGAAGCAAAUAAGCUCUUUAUGUUACCUAAAUUACAAGUGGGUAAACUUCGUGUACUGGGAUUUAUCCCUGACUACCCUGCUAAAGGAACGCGCUCCAAAAUGGCUCAUGCUGAAGAGGACACAGUCAAGUGCCUUUGGUGGAGGAAACUAAGUCAGCAGCCCCCAAAUGGUCUGGCGUUAAUGGAUUUAACGCUUCCCCUCCCCUACCUGGUGCAGUAACUUUUCUCUAGGGACAAAGCUUAAGAAAGACUCAGCCAAGCCCUUGUGUAGCUUGUGGUUUGGCUUCCUGCCCGCUCUGCCCUUCAAGCAGGAAAUUCUCAAAGGGAAGGGAGUGCUUUGUGAAGCUACCUUAAGACUCUGCCACUUCUCUUUUAGUCAGAACUUAGCAUCAGGUCAUCUGGAACUCCUGGAAGCUGACCAGACAGACUGAUGGCGCCUACAGAAGACAUUUAAGCAACUUCUCUACCUUGAUCAUUUUCCCUCAUCUUUUGUCCUUUACGUCCUUGAUUGCUGUUAUUCAGUCCUGAGAUAAUACACGCCUGAUAUCACUGAGAUGGGAGAGACAAGCAAGGAGGAAGAGAUCAAAGGAAGGAGAAGAAAGAGAAGAUGCCAAAGGCAGAAGAAGAAAGAGGGAAGAUGCCAAAUACUUCCUUGAUUUACCUACUUUACAUACCCGGCACACAAAGUUUCAGAAAUUCUGAAUGUACUUAAUUUCCAGAGUUCUGGGCUUGCCACGUAAUCACCAGACAGCAGGAGGCUGUCUGCAGGGGCCAUGGGCAUCCUCUUUUCCACCAGCAGAGGAAGUAGCUUGAAAGCUGGAUCCAGAAAGCCCAGGAGGCCCUUGGCACUUGUGAGCGUUGGCCGGACUUGAAGAGAAACUCGGCAGCACAAGCUGGGAAACAAGUACGGCUAAAAUAUCUUUCUGCUUCCCUCUGCCGGCCAGAUAACAGCAGUACCAACGUAAUUCCUGCAAAUCAGGGAAGGGUCAGGGUGAAGAAUAGUAAAAGAUAAGAGGGGUCAUCUUGUGCUGUCACUACACAAGCAUUAACUAAAUCGAUUUCUUUGAAUUUGCUCCUGAAUUUCAGAAGAAAUGCAAUGUAUGUGUGUCCUGGAGAGCUCAAGAAGAUUGGAAAUGGGGUCAAAUACAGGUGGGUGACAGGCGAGGAGAUGGCAGAGAGGUGGGCGCUGUAUGUGGAGUGAUUUCAAGGUUUAAACCAAUAAUAUUCCUGUACUGUUUUUCUCAUCCUGUUAUCAGUUGUGAUUACAAAGUUAAUUUAACAACCUUGAUCUAAACUUAGUUGCUAUUCCUGUUACAAAACAGGACCAUUAUGAGUUGCAAAAAAAAUUCAAAACAAAACCAUAAACUUCAAACAUUUUUGUUACUCACUGGGUGAUACUGAAAUCUCUUUGACUGAGGAUUAAAUCCCUCUUUUUCUUAGUCUGAGAUUACUUUUCUAUGGUAUUUAUAAGGGCUGGAGGAAAUCUUGAAACCUAAAAGGAACAGCCAAUGAUAACAAAAUUCUGAAUAUGGAGAUACAGGAAACAUGUAACUACAACCCCAGCUCUCAUUUAAAACGUGUAAGUUAAAGGCAAAUCUAACAUUAAUGCAGUAUUCAAGUCAAGAAAUCAGCAGUCAUUUCUGCAUUUAAUUUCCCUGUUUUAUUUAAGCAGCAAAGGGGAAAAAAGCACUUUGAAGCACAACUGUUGAUGAAUGGGCUUUAAGGGUGACUCAGUGCUGUUCCAUCGCUUUUGCAGAUUGUCCUCAUUUACUGACUCAGGCAUCUUCACAACUCCCUUCACUGGGCUGACCCUCUCUAAAUUAAAAAUCCGAAGAGAGAUGCUGAGUGCCCAGCUCCUGCCGAACUUGGAUGCUGCGCUGCCUCAUGCCACCCGUGAAGCACUGCAUUUUGCAGGCCUGGAAUGAACUGCCUUGUCUUGGCGCACUUGUUGACUGCCAGGAAAUGGUGAGGUGGAAGUCACUACUCUUUUUCAAACUGCAUAGUCUCGCACAGACGUAUCAUGACAAAAACACGGAUACCUCAUCUAAUCAAGCUCUGGCGUUAGUUACUACCAGUCACAGAGCUGCACUAGUGCUGCAUUAGGGAAGUGUCAAUAAAAGGCCACUGAAAAUAUGUGUGCUUCUAAAC